GAUGAACGCUGGCGGUCUGCUUAACACAUGCAAGUCGAACGGGCUCUUUCGGGAGCUAGUGGCGGACGGGUGAGUAACGAGUGAGAAUCUGCCCUUUGGAGGGCGAUAACGGUUGGAAACGACAGCUAAUACCCCAUGUGCCGAGAGGGAAAAAGUAAUUCGCCCAGGGAUGGGCUCGCGUCGGAUUAGCUAUGUGGUGGCGUAAUAGCCCACCAAGGCGACGAUCCGUAGCUGGUCUGAGAGGAUGACAAGCCACACUGGGACUGAGACACGGCCCAGACUCCUUCGGGAGGCAGCAGUAAGGAAGAUGCCGCAAUGGGCGCAAGCCUGACAGAGCAAGACCGCGUGAGGGAAGUCUGUCUGGGGAUUGUAAACCUCGUUUGACAGGGUGGAAGUACUGACGGUACCUGUCGAAUCAGCCACGGCUAACUCCGUG
rnacentral:rRNA from 1 species